GUGCUCGCUUUGGCAACACAUACUAAAAUUGGGACGACACAGAAAAGUUUAACAUGGUUCCUGUGCAAGGAUGACAUGAAAAUGAAUGAAGGGUUCCAAUUUUAU
rnacentral:snRNA from 1 species